ACAUGAGCAAAUAAUUAAAACAUAGAUUGUACUCCUCAAACGAUGACACUUUUGUUCAACAACUUUUAAAAAUUAUGAAGUAUUUAGACUCCCUAUUUUUCAUACAAAAUAAAUAUUAUAUUCAAUGGACGCCAUCGCCACGCCAUAUCAUUGUGAUUGACGUUGCUUGUCAAGCCUUAAACAUAACAAAAUUCGCAAUACAUUGCGUCUUUGAAUAACCUUUAAAGUGUAUUAAAAAUCAAACUACAAGUUAUUUUCAAAAGUCACUGAAAAAAUGUUGAUCAGUAUGAGGAGUACAACUUACAGUUUAAUUUUUUGCUCAUAUUACAGGCCACACCCGGUAUAAAUGCCUAUAUUGUGAUCAUAUAUUAUUUGUUGUCUCAGAUGUAGAUGUAUUGAAAUUAUUUGAGGUGCUGACACAUUUGUAAGUUAUUUUUUGAACUCCACUUCAAAUUGUUUCAAAUAUUAAAACUCAUUGUGUAAAUAGCAAAAACUAAUUUGUAUUGUUGUUAUUUUAAGAAAUAAAUGGUUGAAAUUUUUA